UUUUUGAUCUGUAAUCGCCGGACGGUACACCGACACCCACUUUGAUCAGAUCAGAUUUUUUUUAGAUUUUAUUUUUAUGAUUUUAUUGAAUUAUCCUUAUGAUAAUUUCAGUAUGAUUUGAUCUGAUCGAUCGGAUUUAUUGAAUCCUAUCGUCUGAAGAGUUCAAGAUGAAUUUCUCUCUAGAAUUUUCUCUCUCUAGAAUUUAUCUCUAAAAUUAUCUCUCUUGAUCAAUUUCUUUCUCUAAAAAGAUAUAUCAAUGAAGAAAUUUCUUUUAAUAUUUUCGAUCUAAUGAAGAAUCCUGAUCUAUGAUUGUCGGACAGCAUGCUGGCACUCACCUUAAUCAAACCAUGAAUUCUUAGAUUUGAUCAUCAAUGAUCCCAAUCUAACCAUGACUUGAUUUGAUCAUGUUGAUUUCACCAAUCGAGAUAUUGGAUCAAUCGUAAUAUUGGAUUAUGUCACCUGAUCAAUUCGAAUUAUACCUCGUGAAUUCACUCUCCUCUGAUUUUCUCUCUCUACUUGAUUUUAUGAAACCAAUAAAGAAACCUCGAUCCUAUCACUUCGAAUUCGAUUUGAUCUGAUAGUCAAACUUUGGAUCGUUUAUGUCCUAAUUAGAUUUUGAGUAGAUGAAAUUAAAUGAUCGGACCCAAUCUAAACCGUUAAAAUAUGACAUUCGUAUUCUUUCUGAUUAUUGAAUUUGAUCUCGUAUAGGUAUCAUUGACACCUGAUAAUCGGAUAUUGUGAUAUGGUUUAUGAACUGAAAAAUUUUAGAAGAAAAUUUAUAAAAUUAUAUGGAUUUAUUGGAAUACGUUCGAGAUAAGUAAUGUUUUAUUUUUUUAAAUUUAUCGAUAAAUUAUAAUGUAUUUUUCUGACAUAAUUUAUGAAACAAUGUAUGAAUUGGAUGAAUGAUAUUUUGUUAUGAAAAUAUCUUGUUUGAAAUAUUAUGAUGAAGCAUGAUUGAACAUAUUGAUUUCAUGAUGCAUUAUAUUGAUUGAUUUCGAUGCUACAUAAUUAUAUAUUUUCUUAUCGAAAUUAGAAUAUGAAACAUGAUUUAUGAAGAAUUCUGAUAUAAGAACAAUAUGAAUUGACAACCUGACUAUGUAAAGGACCCCGCCAAUGGGGGCAUACACGUUGGCAAUUGAUUUAUCUUGAGGGUUUAUGUCGCCAGCGAGACCAACGACAUGUCGUCAGAGAGACCAGCGAUAAACCGCCAGAGAGACCAGCGGUUCCAAAAGACUUUGCUGCCAAAUGAUUCGCAGCUCACCGCAAGAAGAUAUGCGGUGUUAUGACCCUGCCACAGAAAAAAUAUGGUCAUAGCUCAUGGUUAACGAAAAGAAUUUAAAAAUGAAAGAAAUUGAAAUCUCGAAAAAAAACUCGAAUUUUGAAAAUGAAAUAAGUUUGGCAUGAACUAUAUUGCAUAAUCGAAAUUGAUUUCAAAUUGAUGAACUCUAUAUGCUUAUUUUUUAUAAAUAAUUAUUUACUUUAAUGCCUGAUGAAAUAUAUUGAAAGUGAUCAUUGCUUACUGGACUGUCUAGCUCAUUAUCUCUUAUUUUACUAUUUUUACAGAUGCUGAAAAAAUUAAGAUGAUACAAAAUAUGAAUGGAAGAGUGAUUAGAAGUAGAAUCUUUAUACUUUUAUUUUAAGUUGAAAGUCUUAUUGAAUUUGAUGUAAGACCUAUGAAAUUUUAUUGAAUUUGUUAAGAUAUUAAAGUUGAAAUUUAGAUCGUUAUGUUUUGGAUUUAAAUUAUUGACUAAUUGUUCUGCUGUGAAGCAUUGAUAUCGUGAUAAGAUGCCUUGCAUGCUUAUGGGAAGAGUUUUCUAUGAGUAUGCGGUGGUUGCCAUGACCUUCAAUUCAAAAUUUCAGAUCGGAGGCGUGACAAUUAAAGUGGUAUCAGAGCAUUAAUGGAUAAACUAAGAUGUGUAUAGAAUGAGUGUCAGUGGAUAGACACUAGGGACAUUAUGGUGUAGAUCUUUGAUGAUUGUAGUAGGAGAAAUCUUUAUAAUUUUUUAUUGAACAUUGAAAUUAUGUAUGAAAAGAUCACAAAAGAUUAUGACAUAUAGAGUUUGAAAUAUGAUGGAUGAUCUAUAGAUUAUGAUAUGAUUAGUUAGAUUUUGAUCGAAAGUAAUUACGAUAGGAUUGACAUAAAAUUUUUUUGUGCAUUGUAGUUAUUAAUUUGAUCAUUGGUUAUUCUAAUGAAUCGUAAGUUCAAAUUUGAUGUGAGAAUAAUACUAUGAUAUUACUUCUAGUUGAAAAGUCGACUAUUAUUGGCAAGAUAAAGAUUUGAUGAUAAAAUAUUGUUCCAAAAUGGACUAAGAAAGUCUUUUAUGAUGCUUGAUUGGAAUAUUUAUUGAAAUUGAAUUUGGUACAUAGAUCAUAUAUAAAGUGGCAUAUUAGGAUGAAUGCAUAUUUGAAGAUAUUGCAAAGAAGCCUAUUUCUUAUUGAUGAAAUGGAUUAUG
rnacentral:lncRNA from 1 species